UACCAGCACCCCGAGUGGUCGGGACGAUUAUUGGGCCUAAAGCAUCCGUAGCCGGUUCUACAAGUCUUCCGUUAAAUCCACCUGCUUAACAGAUGGGCUGCGGAGGAUACUAUAGAGCUAGGAGGCGGGAGAGGCAAGCGGUACUUAGUGGGUAGGGGUAAAAUCCGUUGAUCCAUUGAAGACCACCAGUGGCGAAGGCGGCUUGCCAGAACGCACUCGACGGUGAGGGGAUGAAAGCUGGGGGGAGCAAACCGG
rnacentral:rRNA from 1 species